rnacentral:rRNA from 1 species
UACGUAGGGUGCGAGCGUUAAUCGGAAUUACUGGGCGUAAAGCGUGCGCAGGCGGUGAUGUAAGACAGGUGUGAAAUCCCCGGGCUCAACCUGGGAACUGCAUUUGUGACUGCAGGGCUGGAGUACGGCAGAGGGGGAUGGAAUUCCGCGUGUAGCAGUGAAAUGCGUAGAUAUGCGGAGGAACACCGAUGGCGAAGGCAGUCCCCUGGGCCUGUACUGACGCUCAUGCACGAAAGCGUGGGGAGCAAACAGG